rnacentral:tRNA from 1 species
GUCAGUUAGUUCAGUUGGUAGAACGCUGCACUCAUAAUGCAGAAGUCACUGGAUCGUAGCCAGUACUGACCAC